AGAUGCUGCUUCCCCACGCAAAAAAUGCAAAUACAGGUAACUGGAGGGACCUCAUUGCAAUUUGCCAGCCUCGUCGUCUCCAAAGUCCAAAAGCCCAUGGGCUCCGCUCCCUCAUCGGCGAGGCGCCGCCGCCGCCGCCGCAGCGGCGCUCCUCGACGGCACGCGCCCUCCACCUCCGCCUCACCGGAUGGUUCGAGCGGUUCUUCAUAGAGGAUCCGACGGCGCCCUGCUCGUCGCGGCAGCAGCUGAGUGCCCUUACAGCCAUUGUGACAGUUUGUUGGCUUUGAUCCGGUACUGAUGUCUGUGGAGAGAGUGAGCGAGGGAUUUGAUCCAUUUUUGAAGAGUUUGCUUGCCGGAAAUUAUACCUUGCUGAUGUUUCAAUCAGGCGCACACAAGGAUCGUUUCAGGUCUGUUGCAAUUCUGAACUGCUUAUGCUUUUGCUUGAUCUCUGAACUUCUCAAUUAGGCAUGGUACUAUUUACUAAAUCUAAUUCAUUUUACUAGCUUUCUCAAGACGAUGUAGUUGUCACUUUUCAGUAGUAACACAUGGAGACACACGAUGGAUUGAUGGAUUUAGUAUUGCCACCACGAGUUGCAUUUAUCCAUAUGAUUUGAUUGCUGAACGAUUUGCGUGUUACCACCAUGAGGGCACAUGUCCGUAUGAUUUGAUUACUAAACCACAUGGAGAUUUUGACAUUGUAACCGUCGGAGACAUGCAUCAACAGAUUAUGUAUUGUGAUAUUCCGUGUCUGGUUUCAAGCAGGGCCACGGCCUACAAACCAAUAGAAACCAGCUCUUAAUCAUAAGUACUAUCACUUGUAAAGUAAAACGUGCUUUAAGAAUCAUGAUAUCUCUAACAGGGCAAGCAAAUAAUUAGGUGUUCAGGAUUUCUACCAGACAAAUGAGUUAUGGAGUAUGAUGACCUCUCUAGUUGAUCAAAACUUAUUAACAUACUAGUUAGUCCGUUAAUCAUUGAUUUUCUUAAUCGUUGGUCUUAGAAAUUGAUUAAUUUUUACUUGUCUACUUGUCACAUAAGUGUACUGCAUAAACUAUUCUCUUUAUGUUGCUUAUUUUCCUGGUUCGAUCAUCAUAAAGUUGUCUCAUGGUUUGGUUCUGUUCAGCAAUCAAGAGUUUUACUGAACAAGGUCCAAUCAAGAGUUUGCUUCUUCUGCAUAUGUGUAGAAUGAAGGAUCCCUUUAAACAAUUAGUUUUUGAUUGGUUACAAUCUUUGUAAUUUUUUCCUUUACGGUUUUCAUGUCCUUUUGUAUGAUGUAAAUAUUAUUCUUUUAUAAAAGCUAUACUGUUGGGCAAAUGCCUGACAGUAAUUCCCAUAAAAAAAGGUCCAAUAAAUUUUUUUCAAGAUAGACAGAAACAUAAAAGAUGUACAUGUAUCUAAAUAGUCAAGAUGCAAGUCUUGAGAUGACUUUACAGCUGGCCACAAUGGAAUAGUUGGAUACGUAACGUGAAGUGAAGUUCACUAGGGAUAAGCUGGGUUUCCUUAUGAUUUAUGAAUCCCAAAAUGUGAUUUCUCUUGCUUCAAACAGCAUACUGGUUCAGCAUAUUAGGAAUGGGUAACCAAACCAGAAAUUUCCAAAAGAAUGAAAUCCCCGUCACUUGGUUUUAUCAUCAUUGAUCAUCCCUCCUUCAGGAAUUUGUCUAGUUCUCUAGCUUUUUAUUUGGAAGUAUGUGCGUCUAGUUCCUUCGCCAGAAAGCGCUACAAAUACACUUUGUACUAGGAGCUAAUGAUGCCAAUUUGUUCGAUGCACCAUUUAGACAGGAUGCAAACAUAUUACAUGUAGGUUCCUAUAUUUUUUUUAUCGGAAAUAUAGACUCCUAUAUUUGUUCCAUGAAGCAAAACGAAUGCAACCUGAUCAUGUAUUUUUUCCAGUUGAACGUGAGCAUGAUAUCAUGGUGUCAUAGCAUGUCUUCUUCCUUCAUUGAAAACUGUUUGGCUACUGUGCAUAUGUUGAGAUUUGGUACUUCUAUUGACCUUCUAAAAUAAAAGAAAUCUAUGUUAAGGACACUGUCAAGAUCAGUCUUUACACUAAAACCAGAUAUCUUGUGUUGAUAGUUAUUGUUCUUCAUGAAACUAGUAUCAUUAUAAUAUUGUCACAUCUUGUGUUUUCACUAGAAUUCUACUAGAAAUGUUCUAUAUUUUUAUUGUGCAUAUUGCACUAUAGAUGCCAAAACAACCUAGACAAUCCUGACAACAUAUCUGUGCUCUGUGUACCACAAACUUCAGAGUCUUGUACUGCUCUGGCACUUUCAUCGUUGCACAAAUAUUCCGAACUAGCUAAUUCCCUCAACUUCCUUUUAUUUGGUCACUUUCUUUUGAUUUUUUCCUGCUCACAGUACUCUUUCCAAUAUCAAUUCCAAGUUUUUAUUCUGGAUAUGUUCUGUGGCUAUGCUACACAUUUUGAACUUGGGAUGUUAAAGAUGUCGUCCUUUCAACCAACCUAGUCAGAACCAGCUCACAGCAUAUUUUUGGUCAGGGUGCGCAGGUGAUUGGUGUGCCCCCCUUCUUGGGUUCGUGUUGUUAUGAAAUAAGGCAGAGCUUCCGUCUUUGUUUUAAACUUUAAAAAAAGACGUUUCUUCCAAGAAAAAAAAAGAUGUAGUGACUGCUUGCCGACAGGGAAGAGAGAGAUGAAAACGGCUGCCGAUAUAUGCACUGCAAAUAAUUCAGGGACUGUGACCAACUGUAUGCUUCAAAGUUCAAACUAUGGAAAGUGAAGACAUGGUCCGCUCAUUCUGGGGGCCGCAGCUACAGAUGUUUUCGCCGUGCGCACGUGUGCAUGAACUUGUUCCCUUGGAGUUACAUCACGCAUUCAUGCUGGCGCAGCUGUUGAUUGACUCUGUGUUUUGUGGAGUCGAAACAUUGAUAGCCUGAUUGAUGUGGUCUCGCGGAACAUUGCACAUGCAUCAAUGAAUCGCGGUUUGUGACACGCUGUUCAUCAAGCAAUGUGUGUGGGAACGCGGGUGCUUCAAAUUCUCUGAACCACAAAAUCUUCACUGUGAGGAUCGGAGUACAUUGCAUUCUGAAAUGAUUUGAUGCCAGCACUGGAGGAGACUCCACUCCGGCUGUAUCCUCUUGAUCUAUCUAGAGAAGACUAGCUGAACUAGGGGAUGAUGCACUGCAACCUACUGCCAAAUAUUUUAUACGCUUGGAGCAUAUCUUUCAGUGAUCACAAGAAGCUACGGAGUCUACCCUGUUCAUCUGCUGGCCCAUUGGAGGCAGGGGUUGCUACAAAUGGAAUCAACGGGGCCGAUAAAGAACUAGACAAGUGAGUUUUUCCUCAUCCAUUAUCUUUUGCCGAUUGGUAUGUGCAUAUUUAAAUCACUUCAUUAUAUACAUACGACUAUAUAUGAUGCUGCACCAGGUACAAAAAUUCACUAUCCUUUUCCCCUUAAUAUAUAAUACCAUCUAAUUAUUUUGUUAUGCAUGUUUCUUCUACUUCUUGAUGAAAUGAAUAAUUCUUUUUUGUUAUGUAUGAAUUUUGUUGCAUUUAUUUAUUUGUUGGGCAUAUGGGCUAUAGUGAAACGUAUACUAGCUAGUAGAGAUGUACUCCUUCCGUCCCAAAAAAAGGCAAACCUUAGGUUUCCGUGUCCAACUUUAACUGUCCGUCUUAUGUGAAUUUUUUUUAUAAUUCGUAUUUUCAUUGUUAUUAGAUGAUAAAACA